rnacentral:lncRNA from 10 species
CUCUUUUUGUCUUUCCCUGUCUUCAUAGCUGGGUGUAUUGCAUUUUUUCCCCCCCAAUAGAGUUACAAAAAUGGAAGAAGAUUGAAGGAAGGAGAAUCUUAGUGUUCCUGGUUCAGACUCAGACACCGAUGCAAGGGCAGCUGAAUGAGGAUCACAGGAAUCUGGGGAAGGGGAAGGCUUGAAAUCCUAUUUUUGAAUGCGGCAGAGUGCAGAAUGGAGAGCUUGUUUUCUUUAAGAAAGUCCCGCCGCGGGAUGACAGCAGUGGCAGACGAGGGCUUGCCACAAUCAGCAGCUUCACAGGAACUGGUAAAUGGGGAGAGGUCUUAACUGGGGUCUCUUAGCAGCGUUUGACAAUCAGCAGUGUCCGGCUUCCCAGGAUAAGGAAGAUCUGGUGGCGAAAAGGACUUCGGAAGAGCGCGCCUCCGGUGCUAAUCAGCAGAGCGGGGAGAUCAAGAAACCCAGACCUGCACUCUUCCAGGCCCUCUUUCUAGGGCGGCAGAGCCUAACUGGUGGGGUGGCUGUCAGCUGUCUCCGUGGGAAGACCUUCCAGCCUGGCCAUCAGGUCUUUGGAGUUCAUCUGCCCUAUUCUUUCCCUUCGAAUGUAAUUCUACGCUGGUUGUAA